AACGAACGCUGGCGGCAUGCCUAACACAUGCAAGUCGAACGAGACCUUCGGGUCUAGUGGCGCACGGGUGCGUAACGCGUGGGAACCUGCCCUUAGGUUCGGAAUAACUCCCCGAAAGGGGUGCUAAUACCGGAUAAUGUCUUCGGACCAAAGAUUUAUCGCCUUUGGAUGGGCCCGCGUUGGAUUAGCUAGUUGGUAGGGUAAAAGCCUACCAAGGCGACGAUCCAUAGCUGGUCUGAGAGGAUGAUCAGCCACACUGGGACUGAGACACGGCCCAGACUCCUACGGGAGGAAGCAGUGGGGAAUAUUGGACAAUGGGCGAAAGCCUGAUGCAGCAAUGCCGCGUGAGUGAUGAAGGCCUUAGGGUUGUAAAGCUCUUUUACCCGGGAUGAUAAUGACAGUACCGGGAGAAUAAGCUCCGGCUAACUCCGUG
rnacentral:rRNA from 1 species